rnacentral:rRNA from 1 species
ACGAACGCUGGCGGCGUGCUUCACACAUGCCAGUCGAACGGAAAGGCCCUGCUUUUGUGGGGUGCUCGAGUGGCGAACGGGGGGGUAACACGUGAGUAACCUGCCCUUGACUUUGGGAUAACUUCAGGAAACUGGGGCUAAUACCGGAUAGGAGCUCCUGCUGCAUGGUGGGGGUUGGAAAGUUUCGGCGGUUGGGGAUGGACUCGCGGCUUAUCAGCUUGUUGGUGGGGUAGUGGCUUACCAAGGCUUUGCCGGGUAGCCGGCCUGAGAGGGUGACCGGCCACAUUGGGACUGAGAUACGGCCCAGACUCCUACGGGAGGCAGCAGUGGGGAAUAUUGCACAAUGGGCGGAAGCCUGAUGCAGCAACGCCGCGUGCGGGAUGACGGCCUUCGGGUUGUAAACCGCUUUCGCCUGUGACGAAGCGUGAGUGACGGUAAUGGGUAAAGAAGCACCGGCUAACUACGUG